GUAGCAAAUCAAAAAAUGGAAAAUUACAACAGUGACAUAUUUUAUGUGUAGUAAUCUUCACAACAUGAGACUGUUUGGAUGAGUCAUAGUGUAGCAAUCUUUACACAGGUCAUGGGUUCCGUGCAUGAACUAUAAUUCAUUUGCAGUUGUUCACGUUGUAUAAUGUAAAAUCCCAUUUUGGGGAGUAUUUUUUCAUUGUCCUAAGACGUGCAAUGCAAUUCAGUGCGCUAAAGUGUCCGCUUGUUCCAUCAUCCAAAUUAGUACAAUGAGAAUUGAAACAGGAAGUCGAGAGCCGGAAACAGGGACAACUCGCCUUCAAAGUAAAAGUUGCGCGUUUUGAAGCGUGUCGGCUGCAGCGGUCCAUCUAAGUAGAGCUCUACUAAAUAAAUACAUAAAUAAAUAAAUAAACAAAAAGCUUAAAUGGCAUAAUUCCUAACUUCUUUUAUACACUUUGGAGAUGAAACUAUGUCAAAGGAAAAAAGAGGCGGCGGGACCAACCCAGGAAUUUUCAAACUGUGUGACCUCCACCGGUAGUCUGAUGCAUAAACUCAACCUAUGACUACAACAGGAUAACCUGGAAACAGCGCGGGGAAAACACGCAGCUGUUACAGAGUUUCCAGAGGACCAGAGUAGAGAGCUUGUGAGACACCAGGGAAGACAGCUGUGGAUGGUGUGUCAUUCACCUCGGAUUUUUGCUGGGGCUUCACAUGUCUGCUUUCCGAGUCUCUAACUGUACCUACCAAGACUGGCUUUCACAGCAAAACAUAUACUCACAAAGCACUUUAUUAGGAACACCUGUGCAAUCUAAUGCAAUCCUGUAGACCACCUCUGCCAUAAAUUCUACUUCUACGAAGCACUGUAUUUUAAAUUACUGGAUUAUUGCCAGAGAUGGUUAGUCAUUGUACAGUUUAUGUACAAAUUAAUUCUUCAUCUUGUCUGUUCAUAUGACCUCUGUCUUCUUCAAAAUAAAUAAAAGGUAUACUCUCA